rnacentral:lncRNA from 11 species
CAAAGGGGGCGAAGGGAGAAGGGAGGCUGAGAGAGAAAGAGAGAGAGAGCGAGCUUGGGUGUUGUGAGAGGAAGGCGAAGGAGGGAGGGAGCCGGUGUCGCCUCAGCCGGGGAACUGAAAGCUUCCCUCAUUUGAGAUAUACACAUCCAUGGCAGCGGCCUGGCUCCCCCCUUCGCGCCCCUUUGGGCUGAAGGAGGAGGCGGCGUUGAAGGAGGAGGAGGAGGAGGAGGAAGCCGCGGCGGCCGACGCGAGAAGGGAGCCUGGCGGAGGCGGAGCCGGCGCUCUAGCCGGGCCGGCCUGGACUCCGCCGUCGCCACCGCUUUUCCCAGCAUCAGCAGCCGCCGCUUUCCGAAAAUGGAUCUUGGAAGUUAAGUGA